AACGAACGCUGGCGGCAGGCCUAACACAUGCAAGUCGAGCGAGGACUUCGGUCCUAGCGGCGGACGGGUGAGUAACGCGUGGGAACGUGCCCUUUGCUACGGAAUAGCCCCGGGAAACUGGGAGUAAUACCGUAUGUGCCCUUCGGGGGAAAGAUUUAUCGGCAAAGGAUCGGCCCGCGUUGGAUUAGGUAGUUGGUGGGGUAAUGGCCUACCAAGCCGACGAUCCAUAGCUGGUUUGAGAGGAUGAUCAGCCACACUGGGACUGAGAAACGGCCCAGACUCCUACGGGAGGCAGCAGUGGGGAAUCUUAGACAAUGGGGGAGACCCUGAUCUAGCCAUGCCGCGCGAUCGAUGAAGGCCUUAGGGUUGUAAAGAUCUUUCAGUGGGGAAGAUAAUGACUGUACCCACAGAAGAAGCCCCGGCUAACUCCGUGCCAGCCGCCGCAGUAAUAC
rnacentral:rRNA from 1 species